GCUCAGAACGAACGCUGGCGGCAGGCUUAACACAUGCAAGUCGAACGCCCUCGCAAGGGGGAGUGGCAGACGGGUGAGUAACACGUGGGAACAUACCCUUCGGUUCGGAACAACGCCGGGAAACUGGCGCUAAUACCGGAUACGCCCUUUUGGGGAAAGGCUUGCCGCCGAAGGAGUGGCCCGCGUUCGAUUAGCUUGAUGGCGGGGUAACGGCCCACCAUGGCGACGAUCGAUAGCUGGUCUGAGAGGAUGGCCAGCCACAUUGGGACUGAGACACGGCCCAAACUCCUACGGGAGGCAGCAGUGGGGAAUAUUGGACAAUGGGCGCAAGCCUGAUCCAGCCAUGCCGCGUGAGUGAUGACGGCCUUAGGGUUGUAAAGCUCUUUCGCACGCGACGAUAAUGACGGUAGCGUGAGAAGAAGCCCCGGCUAACUUCGUGCCAGCAGCCGCGGUAAUACGAAGGGGGCUAGCGUUGUUCGGAAUCACUGGGCGUAAAGGGUGCGCAGGCGGGUUCAUAAGUCAGGGGUGAAAUCCCGAGGCUCAACCUCGGAACUGCCUUUGAUACUGUGGAUCUUGAGUCCGGAAGAGGUGAGUGGAACUGCGAGUGUAGAGGUGAAAUUCGUAGAUAUUCGCAAGAACACCGGUGGCGA
rnacentral:rRNA from 1 species